CCUACGGGAGGCAGCAGUGAGGAAUAUUGGUCAAUGGCCGGAAGGCUGAACCAGCCAAGCCGCGUGAAGGACGAAGGUGCCAAGCAUUGUAAACUUCUUUUGUCAAGGGACAAAAUCAGGCUCGAGAGCCUGACCGAGGGUACUUGAAGAAAAAGCAUCGGCUAAGUCCGUGCCAGCAGCCGCGGUAAUACGGGGGAUGCGAGCGUUAUCCGGAUUGAUUGGGGUAAAGGGGUGCGUAGGCGGACUGUUAAGCCAGCGGUAAAAGCCCGGGGCUCACCCCCGGCGAGCCGUUGAAACUGGGUGUCUUGAGAUGUCGAGGGGCAUGCGGAAUGCGCGGUGUAGCGGUGAAAUGCUUAGAUAUUGCGAAGAACUCCGAUGGCGAAGGCAGCAUACCGGCGGCGAUCUGACGCUGAGGCACGAAAGCGUGGGUAUCGAACAGGAUUAGAUACCCGAGUAGUC
rnacentral:rRNA from 1 species